rnacentral:tRNA from 1 species
GGGGCCGUAGUCUAGCCUGGUAUGAUGCGCGGCUCGGGCCCGCGUGGUCCCGGGUUCAAAUCCCGGCGGCCCCA